rfam:Cephalotus follicularis DNA, scaffold: scaffold1512, isolate: St1.
AGGAGCCGUGCGAGAUGAAAGUCUCAUGCAUGGUUUUGAAUGAGAGAAAGAGGUGAGGAAUCCUCUUUUCGACUCUGAC